rnacentral:rRNA from 1 species
AUUGAACGCUGGCGGCAGGCCUAACACAUGCAAGUCGAACGAGUGGCGGACGGGUGAGUAAUGUCUGGGAAACUGCCCGAUGGAGGGGGAUAACUACUGGAAACGGUAGCUAAUACCGCAUACCAUCGGAUGUGCCCAGAUGGGAUUAGCUAGUAGGUGGGGUAACGGCUCACCUAGGCGACGAUCCCUAGCUGGUGUGAGAGGAUGACCAGCCACACUGAAACUGAGACAGGGUCCAGGCUCGUACGGGGGCCAGCAGUGGGGAAUAUUGCACAAUGGGCGCAAGCCUGCUGCAGCCAUGCCGCGUGUAUGAAGAAGGCCUUCGGGUUGUAAAGUACUUUCAGCGAGGAGACGUUACUCGCAGAAGAAGAACCGGCUAACUCCGUGCCAGCCGCCGCGUAAUAC